AUGCACGCUGGCGGCGUGCCUAAUACAUGCAAGUCGAGCGAACAGACGAGGAGCUUGCUCCUCUGACGUUAGCGGCGGACGGGUGAGUAACACGUGGAUAACCUACCUAUAAGACUGGGAUAACUUCGGGAAACCGGAGCUAAUACCGGAUAAUAUAUUGAACCGCAUGGUUCAAUAGUGAAAGACGGUUUUGCUGUCACUUAUAGAUGGAUCCGCGCCGCAUUAGCUAGUUGGUAAGGUAACGGCUUACCAAGGCAACGAUGCGUAGCCGAUCUGAGAGGGUGAUCGGCCACACUGGAACUGAGACACGGUCCAGACUCCUACGGGAGGCAGCAGUAGGGAAUCUUCCGCAAUGGGCGAAAGCCUGACGGAGCAACGCCGCGUGAGUGAUGAAGGUCUUCGGAUCGUAAAACUCUGUUAUUAGGGAAGAACAAAUGUGUAAGUAACUAUGCACGUCUUGACGGUACCUAAUCAGAAAGCCACGGCUAACUACGUG
rnacentral:rRNA from 1 species